rnacentral:rRNA from 1 species
GUCUACGGCCAUGCCACCCAGAACGUGCCCGAUCUCAUCUGAUCUUGGAAAAUAAAAUAUCCACUUAAAAAGUCAACAGUCUACAGCCAUGCCACCCAGAACGUGCCUGUGUCUGAUCUUGGAAGCUAAGCAGGGUCGGGCCUGGUUAGUACUUGGAUGGGAGACUACCUAGAGAUACCAGGUGCUGUAGGCA